CUUCUCUGCUUUUUGAGACAUUAAGAAAGGUUCUCAGGAAAUGUGUCUAAGAUAAUUUUGAGAAACUGAGUGAAACCAGUGUCUCUCCAGGAUCUUUGUGCUUUCCUCACAUACCCUUUCUUGGUGGUCUCGACAGGAUGAGGUGGGGUCCACUCAUGAGCUGGUCCAGAGUCUGAUCUCCACCAACUCCAUCAUUGAUACCAAGAUGGCUUCAAGUCAAGUGACGCUGUUUUCUGAUUCCAAGCCACUUGGGUUAGAGGAUAUAGAAUAGAUAAUCAAGGGCUGUUGAUGCCAAAGGAAGAAAAACAAAUGGGCUUGAAACUGAUCGAAUGUAUCAGAAAGCCAUUUUUGCAGAUGAAGAUGGAUAUGGAGAUAGUGGUGAUGAAGAAGAUGAAAUUUCUGAAGAUGACAGAUUGGAAACCGUCUCUAGUGAUCAGGAAGCAGAAGAGGAGGAAAAUUCUGAGGUGACUGGUCAGUAUAUGACCUGCUAAGAGCAUCAAACGGGGAAACUUGAGGAGUUUGAAGAAGCCAGUGAAGUAGAUUUGCCAGCAUUUGCUGUCCGUGACAAUGAGCUUGAGGGGAGCUCAGCAGAAGGGGAAGUGGAAUAAGCUGGGGAAAGCAGUGAGGAAGAGGAUGGUACUGCAGGAGAGAGGGGCAUUUCAGGAUCAAGGACUGUUGGAGAAGGUAGUAAAGCAGAGCUGUCACCAGCUAAUCCCUGGAGUGACCCUGUAAAUCUGGAGAAGUCUUUGUCGAUGAAGAAAGCAGCCCUCACCUCUUCAUUUCUGGGCAUUGCACAGCUGACGAGGCAUUUGCAUCUGAAGAGGAAUCUGAAGAAAGCUCUUCGCUCAGUGCAGAGGAAGAGGACUUGGAAAAUGAGGACCCUUUUAGGAAAAAGGUUUCAGAGCCUUCUCAAGUGGGCAGUGGUCAGAAACUGGGGUGAAGAAAAUUAAUUAAUGAGACCAGUGAUAUAGAAGAUUUACUCGAAGAAGAUUGCAAGGAAGAGAAGAAUGAUUCCACAGAAGCCUCAGAUGCCCUCACGUUGAAGGAAGACCUUUCCAGAAAGGCAGCUGAGGCCUUUCUGAGGCAGCAACAAGCAACUCCAAACCUCCAAAAGCUUAUUUAUGGGACAGUGACACAAGAUAAUGAAGAAGAUUAUGAUACCUGAGAAGAGCUUGGAGGGUUGUUUCAUGUCAGCCAGCCUGACAGAGCGUGUAAGCACAAGGCUGACUCUUUGGACUGCUUCAGAUUUCUUGUGGAGUUGCCCCAUGACUGGGAUU